rnacentral:RNase_P_RNA from 1 species
UGUGGUCGAAAGCGGAUCUUAGGAGCAACUCACAGGCACUCGUGGCCUUCAGCUCUCUCCUGGGAAGGUCUGAGACAAGGCCGACCGUCGGCGGAGUUCGCUCCGCUGGCGGUUCACUCUCUAGCAGGGAGGCGACAUGAGAGUACGCGGGGCUGUACCAGAAACGCGGCGUCGGCACUCGCAACGCACACGACUGCGCGUCAAACCGCACGAUGCGAUCGGGUGCCGGACGUCUUCUGAAACGGCGCCGGCCGGCUGAGCUGAGUGCGAUGGUCACACGUUAAACCCAAUUCAGACUAUUCUUCGACCAAA